rnacentral:rRNA from 1 species
UGAUGUUAGCGGCGGACGGGUGAGUAACACGUGGGUAACCUGCCUGUAAGACUGGGAUAACUCCGGGAAACCGGGGCUAAUACCGGAUGGUUGUUUGAACCGCAUGGUUCAAACAUAAAAGGUGGCUUCGGCUACCACUUACAGAUGGACCCGCGGCGCAUUAGCUAGUUGGUGAGGUAACGGCUCACCAAGGCAACGAUGCGUAGCCGACCUGAGAGGGUGAUCGGCCACACUGGGACUGAGACACGGCCCAGACUCCUACGGGAGGCAGCAGUAGGGAAUCUUCCGCAAUGGACGAAAGUCUGACGGAGCAACGCCGCGUGAGUGAUGAAGGUUUUCGGAUCGUAAAGCUCUGUUGUUAGGGAAGAACAAGUACCGUUCGAAUAGGGCGGUACCUUGACGGUACCUAACCAGAAAGCCACGGCUAACUACGUGCCAGCAGCCGCGGUAAUACGUAGGUGGCAAGCGUUGUCCGGAAUUAUUGGGCGUAAAGGGCUCGCAGGCGGUUUCUUAAGUCUGAUGUGAAAGCCCCCGGCUCAACCGGGGAGGGUCAUUGGAAACUGGGGAACUUGAGUGCAGAAGAGGAGAGUGGAAUUCCACGUGUAGCGGUGAAAUGCGUAGAGAUGUGGAGGAACACCAGUGGCGAAGGCGACUCUC